AUUGAACGCUGGCGGCAUGCCUUACACAUGCAAGUCGAACGGCAGCACGGGUGCUUGCACCUGGUGGCGAGUGGCGAACGGGUGAGUAAUACAUCGGAACAUGUCCUGUAGUGGGGGAUAGCCCGGCGAAAGCCGGAUUAAUACCGCAUACGAUCUACGGAUGAAAGCGGGGGACCUUCGGGCCUCGCGCUAUCGGGUUGGCCGAUGGCGGAUUAGCUAGUUGGUGGGGUAAAGGCCUACCAAGGCGACGAUCAGUAGCUGGUCUGAGAGGACGACCAGCCACACUGGGACUGAGACACGGCCCAGACUCCUACGGGAGGCAGCAGUGGGGAAUUUUGGACAAUGGGCGAAAGCCUGAUCCAGCAAUGCCGCGUGUGUGAAGAAGGCCUUCGGGUUGUAAAGCACUUUUGUCCGGAAAGAAAUCCUUGGCCCUAAUACGGUCGGGGGAUGACGGUACCGGAAGAAUAAGCACCGGCUAACUACGUG
rnacentral:rRNA from 1 species